ensembl:snRNA U6 U6 spliceosomal RNA
GUGCUCGCUUUGGCAGCACAUACACUAAAAAAAAUUGGAAUGUAUAGACUGGCAUAGCCCCUGCAGAAGGAUGACAUGCAAAUUCAUGAAGCAUUCAAUAUUUAG